UACAGGGGAUGCAAGUGUUAUCCGGAAUUAUUGGGCGUAAAGCGUCUGUAGGUUGAUAUUUAAGUCUUUUGUUAAAACUUUGGGCUCAACCCAAAAUCUGCAAAAGAAACUAUCUAUCUUGAGUAUAGUAGGGGUAAAGGGAAUUUCCAGUGGAGCGGUGAAAUGCGUAGAGAUUGGAAAGAACACCAAAAGCGAAGGCACUUUACUGGGCUAUUACUGACACUGAGAGACGAAAGCUAGGGGAGCAAACGGGAUUAGAUACCCCGGUAGUCCUAGCUGUAAACGAUGGAUACUAGACCUUGUGUAUUUUAUACAGUGUCGUAGCUAACGCGUUAAGUAUCCCGCCUGGGGAGUACGCUCGCAAGGGUG
rnacentral:rRNA from 1 species